AUCUCGUCUCGGCCUUUUGGCUAAUAUCAAGUGUAGUAUCUGUUCUUAUCAGUUUAAUACCUGAUAUGUCCUGUAUUUGAGGACUAUAUAUUAAAUGUCUUUUUGGAGCUGGGAGAUGGAAUAGGGACUUGAUCCAUCCACUCCAUGCAUAGACCUGGUAUUGCAGUACAGUGGACUCUCGGGUUGUGAACGUGAU